UAGGGAAUCUUCCGCAAUGGGCGAAAGCCUGACGGAGCAACGCCGCGUGAGUGAUGAAGGUCUUCGGAUCGUAAAACUCUGUUAUUAGGGAAGAACAAAUGUGUAAGUAACUAUGCACGUCUUGCCGGUACCUAAUCAGAAAGCCACGGCUAACUACGUGCCAGCAGCCGCGGUAAUACGUAGGUGGCAAGCGUUAUCCGGAAUUAUUGGGCGUAAAGCGCGCGUAGGCGGUUUUUUAAGUCUGAUGUGAAAGCCCACGGCUCAACCGUGGAGGGUCAUUGGAAGAUGGAAAACUUGAGUGCAGAAGAGGAAAGUGGAAUUCCAUGUGUAGCGGUGAAAUGCGCAGAGAUAUGGAGGAACACCAGUGGCGAAGGCGAAUUUCUGGUCUGUAACUGACGCUGAUGUGCGAAAGCGUGGGGAUCAAACAGG
rnacentral:rRNA from 1 species